rnacentral:rRNA from 1 species
GACGAACGCUGGCGGCGUGCUUAACACAUGCAAGUCGAACGAUGAAGCUAGAGCUUGCUCUGGUGGAUUAGUGGCGAACGGGUGAGUAACACGUGAGUAACCUGCCCCGAACUCUGGGAUAACUGCUGGAAACGGUAGCUAAUACUGGAUACGACCAACGAAGGCAUCUUCUGUUGGUGGAAAGAAUUUCGGUUCGGGAUGGACUCGCGGCCUAUCAGCUUGUUGGUGAGGUAACGGCUCACCAAGGCGACGACGGGUAGCCGGCCUGAGAGGAUGAUCGGCCACACUGGGACUGAGACACGGCCCAGACUCCUACGGGAGGCAGCAGUGGGGAAUAUUGCACAAUGGGCGCAAGCCUGAUGCAGCAACGCCGCGUGAGGGACGACGGCCUUCGGGUUGUAAACCUCUUUUAGUAGGGAAGAAGCGAAAGUGACGGUACCUGCAGAAAAAGCACCGGCUAACUACGUGCCAGCAGCCGCGGUAA